GGAAAAUUUCAGCACGUGAAUCCAGCAGCUUGUUGACUAAUUAAACACUUGAAGUAAGAAUCACUCACAUGAGAACUUGAGCUUAUCGUCGACGAGAUCACUUUAGAGACGAGCUAUAAAAGGGGGCUCCCGUGUGGGUGCCUCUAAGUCAGUCAUGACGUUACUACACAACUUACUGGUAACAAGAGAAUGUGCUGGGGCUGCACUGCACCCUCGGGCGUGCUGCUGCCGUAGAUCUAAGCCUUGAUCAAAUCAUCAAUCAAGGCCAACUGGGUGUUAAGUGUUGCUCCACUCUUAAAAAUGAAUCAAAAGUUAAAGACAUUUACAUCUUUAUAGACGGGCAACCACGAUUGGAUGGAAAUGCUGCAGAUGUUCCUGCCUGGCAGGAGUAUCACCUACCAAGGCGAGGAGCUGCAUAUGACAGACCUCCAUAUCAGCUGGGAGGACACUCGCGAUCCGGCAGGUUGCAACUCGAACGCAGACAUCUACGAUCUACUCACGCAACCCAGUGCGGACUCCAUUCCACUGGAGCAACAAAGCGAAUGCAUGAAUGAAUCUCCUCGAACAGCAGCACCUGGCUGCCGAUAAACCCCAACUACCAGACUAUCAAUGUCAAAACGGAGAAUGCCAGCACCACCAGGCACCUGAGCUUGGCAUCCAAUCCCCAGGCGAAGGCAUCUGUGCUGUAAGUUUUCAUCAAAUAUAAUUAUCUUCCAAUGUUUCUACUUCUAUAUAUCCCUGUAGCGUUAACGUUACCCUUAGCAGUCUUUCCCUGGAACCAUACACUUCCUUGAUUUUGGAGUCUGUGUAGGGCAAUGUUUUAAUCAGAAAUUCAUGGAGUGAAAUAUAAAUAUUUGCGCACAUGUACCCGUACUCGUACUCGUAGUAGCAUUCGUGCUGGUAUUUGGGGCGAACGACAUUGGAAAACUUUUCAAUUUAAGGUCGUAUUCGUGGCCAACUUAUUGCAAAUUAUGAGGGAACUUCGUCCUCAGUCAAGCACGGCUGGGCGGGGUGCAAAAGAAAUUCCAUUAGUCGUGAUUGAUAAGACACACAAAUCACGCAUCCGAAGCGUUGCCUCCCUGCCAAAAUGAAAGCCGUCCUUCAGAGACCGCAGAAGGUGUCGCGGAAGUGCGGCAAGUGUGGGUGUGGGCAUGUACUCGUAGUUGGUGAGAGUAACAGGCGUCGUAGCAGCGUAGCUUCUCCCUGCUUGGAUUUUUAAUUUAUUCGCUCAAAUUUAAGUGAAAUUUUGUUGAGUUUUCAGCUUCGUUCAGGGAGAACUGCAGUAUCAUCGUUAGCCUCGACACAGACUCCUUCCCACGGACCUACCUCAUUUCGUCUGCAUUGACGCGACAAUUGGUCUGUCAUCUGCGUGCUUCUCUGUGGGAUUAACUGUCAACCCAGCGGCAAACGUGCGCGGCAUGCCGAGUGCCAUAGACUCCUGGCGAGCAUAAGUCAACCCUUUGGCCAACAGUUAUGAGCCAGCCAGCUCGUUCUCGUUCUUCGUUGCGGUGCAAUUAAUGAGAUGACGGGCGGCCGGCCGGCCAGCUAGUAAAUGAACUUCCCCAGCUUCAGCUUCGAUUCUCCGAUUCGUUCCUGGCCAGCUGGCACGUGCCGAUCCAGAUACCUCAGCCAGAGCCAGUCCCACAUCAGCGACCCAUCAGCCUGGCGAAACUCAAAUAUGAAGCCGUGCGGGCAAACAUAAUUAAUAUGCAAACGUUGUCGGUGCUGUGAAUACGUUAACUAAAUGUGCAAGAGCCAGGGCUACCUUCC
rnacentral:lncRNA from 1 species